rnacentral:lncRNA from 1 species
UAUGAAGCACAUGUCCUCUGUACACUCCUGAAAGUUCUUAUAGAGCUCCACUAGGCUCUCCCUGGAGGCUUUGGUGGAAGGAGACAAGGAAAAGGCAUGUUUCAUAUUAGCGGCCCCAUCUCGUAGUCUGCACUGGAUACAAUAAGCUUCAUAGAGUUCUUCUACUUUGCUUAUGUGGAACUCCAGUUUUCUAAUGUAUCUCUCCACAGAGCGAAUUUGCUUAUCAAGGUCAUAGUAGAAGGCCAAUCUGGAGUUCCUUUUUGUAUCUUUGUGUCGAUCAGAGAGAUAAUCCAAUUCAGUCUGAUGUGCUUCCAGGUACUCAUUAAGUCCUUUCUUCAAAGCUUCAAAAAUUUUCUUCACCUGCAGUGGUUUUGGA